AUUGAACGCUGGCGGCAUGCCUUACACAUGCAAGUCGAACGGUAACAGGUCUUCGGAUGCUGGCGAGUGGCGAACGGGUGAGUAAUACAUCGGAACGUGCCUAGUAGUGGGGGAUAACUACUCGAAAGAGUGGCUAAUACCGCAUGAGAUCUACGGAUGAAAGCAGGGGAUAGCAAGACCUUGAGCUAAUAGAGCGGCCGAUGGCAGACUAGGUAGUUGGUGGGAUAAAAGCUUACCAAGCCGACGAUCUGUAGCUGGUCUGAGAGGACGAUCAGCCACACUGGGACUGAGACACGGCCCAGACUCCUACGGGAGGCAGCAGUGGGGAAUUUUGGACAAUGGGCGCAAGCCUGAUCCAGCAAUGCCGCGUGCAGGAUGAAGGCCUUCGGGUUGUAAACUGCUUUUGUACGGAACGAAAAGCCCUGGGUUAAUACCCUGGGGUCAUGACGGUACCGUAAGAAUAAGCACCGGCUAACUACGUGCCAGCCGCCGCAGUAACAC
rnacentral:rRNA from 1 species